AAUUUUGGACAAGGGGGGGAACCCUGAUCCAGCCAUGCCGCGUGUGUGAAGAAGGUCUUCGGAUUGUAAAGCACUUUACGUUGGGAGGAAGAGUUGUAGGCUAAUACCUUGCAAUUUUGACGUUACCAACAGAAUAAGCACCGGCUAACUUCGUGCCAGCAGCCGCGGUAAUACGAAGGGGGCAAGCGUUAAUCGGAAUUACUGGGCGUAAAACGCGCGUAAGUGGUUCUUUAAAUUGGAAGUGAAAACCCCGGGCUUAACCUGGGAAUUGCUUUUAAAAAAGGCGAGGUAGGAUACGGUAGAGGGUAGUGGAAUUUCCUGUGUAACGGUGAAAAGCGUAGAUAUAGGAAGGAACACCAGUGGCGAAAGCGACCCCCUGGGCUAAUACUGACACUGAGGUGCAAAAGCGUGGGGAGGAAAACGG
rnacentral:rRNA from 1 species